rnacentral:rRNA from 1 species
GGAUGAACGCUAGCGGCAGGCUAAUACAUGCAAGUCGAGGGGCAGCAUGACUGUAGCAAUACAGUUGAUGGCGACCGGCAAACGGGUGCGGAACACGUACAGAACCUUCCUUCGAGCGGGGAAUAGCCCAGAGAAAUUUGGAUUAAUACCCCCAUAGUACAACGAAGUGGCAUCACUUUGUUGUUAAAGAUUUAUCACUUGAAGAUGGCUGUGCGGCUGAUUAGGUAGUUGGCGGGGUAACGGCCCACCAAGCCUGCGAUCAGUAACUGGUGUGAGAGCACGACCAGUCACACGGGCACUGAGACACGGGCCCGACUCCUACGGGAGGCAGCAGUAAGGAAUAUUGGUCAAUGGACGAAAGUCUGAACCAGCCAUGCCGCGUGGAGGAUGAAGGUCCUCUGGAUUGUAAACUUCUUUUAUAUGGGACGAAAAAAGGGUUUUCUAACUCGUCUGACGGUACCAUAUGAAUAAGCACCGGCUAACUCCGUG